GUCGCUACGGUGGCACAGGCGGAACCAACCAGCUGCUCGGCAACCGGUUCCGACAGAAGACACCGGCCCACAAAGAGACGCGUACCGAAAACUGGCCUCGAUGUCGGACACGAACACAACAGCUCGGCGGCGAUGAACGAUUUUCCAAACGGAGGCUCCCGGUGGACACGUGACCUCCGCCUCUGUUGUGACGACGGACCGGAAACAGCUGAGGUCUGGAGCGGUGGAACCAAACCACCGCGGGUCUGGAGGACCAGGGCGGCAGAUGUUUCCAUAAACACAGUCGGUCGUGACCAUGUGAAUAUCUCCGCAGCUCUCUCCUCCUCCUCCUCUUCAAGCUUCAGUCGUUCCAGAAUCAGCAGCUCUCUUUCCUCCAGGCUAAGUUUGGCCUCCGUGAGCUGCCGUGCUCUCUCCAACUUUCUCUCUUCCUCCAGACGAAUCUGC